rnacentral:rRNA from 1 species
GACGAACGCUGGCGGCGUGCUUAACACAUGCAAGUCGAACGGAAAGGCCCUGCUUUUGUGGGGUGCUCGAGUGGCGAACGGGUGAGUAACACGUGAGUAACCUGCCCUUGACUUUGGGAUAACUUCAGGAAACUGGGGCUAAUACCGGAUAGGAGCUCCUGCUGCAUGGUGGGGGUUGGAAAGUUUCGGCGGUUGGGGAUGGACUCGCGGCUUAUCAGCUUGUUGGUGGGGUAGUUGCUUACCAAGGCUUUGACGGGUAGCCGGCCUGAGAGGGUGACCGGCCACAUUGGGACUGAGAUACGGCCCAGACUCCAACGGGAGGAAGCAGGGGGGAAGAUUGCACAAUGGGCGGAAGCCUGAUGAAGAAACGCCGCGUGCGGGAUGACGGCCUUCGGGUUGUAAACAGAUUUCGAAUGUGACGAAGCGUGAGUGACGGUAAUGGGUAAAGAAGCACCGGCUAACUACGUG